rnacentral:tRNA from 1 species
AUAGGAAAUAGCAUAAGAGAGUGUACUUCGUUUACACCGAAGAGGUGGGUAAUACCCUUUUCUAUG